GUUUUGAUUCAUCAAAACAUGAACCACUCGUUCUAUCACCUACUUUCUCUAUUUCAUACAACGUCGGAGCAAAAUGUCACUAAGACGUAAGGAUGCCAUGCGUUCUAAGAGAAACAGACAAGCCUUUGCAUUCUCUGAAAAAGAACAUGAAAAAAUAAACAUUCUUAUUGACAAGACACAUGAUCAGGAUCCUCCAGCGGAGCCUAGUCAUGUAUCUACGGACAAGAUAGAAGACAUGAGAAAAAUGGUCAGCGAAGUAACAGGAAUCAUGAAAGACAACAUAGAGAAAGUUGUGGAAAGGGAGGAAAAACUAAACAUACUUGAAGUCAGAACAGAAGAGCUGCAAGCGUCUUCUCUUCCGUCCGAUUCUGUUCACCAAAUCAAUGAAGAACUAGAAAGAGUGGUCCUCCGAAAGAAAAGGAAAGGCUAUGUAGACAUAAAUCAGACACACGGAAAAGAUUCUGAUAGUGAGAAUGGAAAGGUUACCGUUAAUGAAGGAAACGACAAAAAUAAGACUGCGUCAAAGUCAUUUCAGUCUUCGGAAAAUACAGAUAGCAGAGACUUGGUGGUAUCUUCAAAGAUGGCCAACGAGGAAAGGCAAACGGAAUCAACGAAGAAGAGACAUCAGUCUCAACCAUUGCAGGCGAGUUCUACAAAGUCGCGUGAAACAUUAACUGAUUUGAAAUCCGACGAAAUCAAAUGCUUUGAAUCAUCUUCAAUCUUUCCUUAAUCUAAAAAAGAACAAAGUUACGACAAGACACACAGAAAAGAAUCUACUCUGAUAUUUCCGGUUGAUGUUGACUUUUAUGGUUCACUUAGCGUCGAUGGUGGAAGUGAGGAGCCACUACAAAGGCACAAUGCUAUGAAAUCACGCAAAAAUCGUUCUGGUGUUGCAUUUACUGACGCAGAAAAGAUUAGCGUAAUCAGCAAUGUUGAAAAGUUGCAAUCCGAAUCAUUCCCAGAAGCAAAAGACAGGAGGAAGGAUGGACAAAAUGUGUCGGACGAGGUUCGAGCAACGGUCCAGCAAGCUAAGACGUCGAUGGAAGACAAUAUUGCCAAAGUUGAAAAGACAGGAAAAAGACUUGACGAAAUGGACAUCUAUGCUUCUCCUCAAGUAACCAAAUGUCGUUCACUUGACGAUUUAACUGUAGAUAAGACAGAUGGUAUGCGAGAAGAAAACAGGCCGGCUUCAGGGGAUCAUAUUACGAUUAAGGCGAAAGAGAAAAUUGCAGAAUUGCCGCCAGGCAAGUCAAGUGGAAAUAAAUUCAAUGCUAAUGUAGUAUCUGAACCUAAGCAUAAAAAGAAGAAACCAAUACCGACUUCUACAGACGAGUCCGAGUCAAAAAUUGCUUUUGUCAAAAAGAAGGCAAAGCGAGCUAAGGUGUUUCUCAAAGAGAAAUUGACCGAUCACUCUAAUAGCACCGAUGGUUCAAAGCCAUACAGACAGAACGACGGUAACAACACAACUGUUUUCUAUACCGACGAAUCCAUUGCUACUCCAAUGCCUGAACAACCCGUAGUGUCCUCAACCUGUCAGCAACCGCAGAAACAACAACAGCAAUCACAACAACAAGCAAAAACAACACAACUAGACAUCCUUCGUAGUCAGGUCCAAGAGGUUACCAACAUCAUGAAGGACAAUGUCGACGAAAUCUCCAGACGAGGAGAAAAACUGGAAGAGCUCGAAACGAGGUCAGGUCGUCUGGAGGAUUUGUCGAGCUCAUUUAGUACUACUGCUGCAGCCAUACAGAAGAAGAUGAAACGAAGAAACCGGAAAGUGAUCUGUGCCAUUGCUCUUGUACUAACAUUAGUGCUUAUAAUUGUGACAGUUGUUCUCGUUGUGUAUUAUAAUGGGUAAUUUAAGAUCAGAGCAAAAAGGCACAUUUUAAUGUCGACUUUCAUAUACAACCACAAUUUUGCUCGUAGCAUUUGGGUUGGUGGUAAGUUCAAAAUGACUGCAAUUAAGAGACGGGCAUGUUGCAUUAUGGAUUAUUGUAAUAUAUAAUUGUAAUAAAUAAUGUGAUUUUAACGAGAAUAAAUUGUUGUACUGCAAACU
rnacentral:misc_RNA from 1 species